rnacentral:rRNA from 1 species
UACGUAGGGUGCGAGCGUUGUCCGGAAUUACUGGGCGUAAAGAGCUCGUAGGUGGUUUGUCGCGUUGUCCGUGAAAACUCACAACUCAAUUGUGGGCGUGCGGGCGAUACGGGCAGACUGGAGUACUGCAGGGGAGACUGGAAUUCCUGGUGUAGCGGUGGAAUGCGUAGAUAUCCGAAAGAACACCGGUGGCGAAGGCGGUGGUCUGGGCCUGAACUGACGCUGAGGCGCGAAAGCCAGGGGAGCAAACGGG